rnacentral:lncRNA from 1 species
AUUCCUGAUUCUAAUUGAUCCCUUCAGUGGUUCGUUCUUGAAUUAGCAACAUAGAACUGGCCCAAAUGGGUUUAAAGUGGUUAGAACUUGCUCAUGACCAGUUAAAAUCUUUUCUCACAAAGAAAAAUCAGUUCUGACCAGUUCAAAUCUAUUUUGACUAGUUUAAACUAAUUCUGCAGAACUGGAGCCUGAGGUCGGUAAACUCAGAAAGAUGGCUGAAGACGAUGCUGAUCCGAGCCAAAGCAAGGAAUCAGAUACUCUGGAACUGGCUUACCUGUAUUUAGAAGGGUACUUCAUUAGGAGCCAAAAUGACAGGGCUCAAAAGGUAAGGUUCAUUGAUGGGUGAGUAGUGGCUUCUUACCAGCCUUCCUCCCCAAUUUAAUACACUACCCACCAAACUAGAUUUCAGGUAUUCUAAACAGUUUUAUACAUAAUAUUAAACACUUAAAAAUAGAAGAUAAUGUAGGUGAAUAAAUUAUUUCCUUUUUGCAUAUGCUUAAAAUAAUAUAUGAGGUCAUGAAGGAAGGGGUUAUAUAUUUUCAUAUAUAAAAAGGAAAAUCUCUAAAUAUAAAACAUGAAAAACAUUGAAAUACAAAUGAUAAAUUGGAAAACUGCAACAAAUAUAACCAUUGCAGUUGAUACUCAUUUGUGGAUUCUAUAUUUUGAAUUCAUCUACUCACUAAAAUUUAUUUGUAAUCCUGAAAUCAAUACCUGUGGUGCUUUUGUGGUCAUUUGUGGAUAUACACAGUGAUAACAUUUGAAUUGCCUGAUGUGCCCAGUCCCAAAUGAGGUCCAACAAGGUGAUUCUCUUUCUUUUUGUCUUAGCUCUCAUACUUUAAAUAAUUGUAAUUUUCACAGUCUAUUUAGUGCCAUGUUUUUCACAUUUUUGUGCUUUUUCUUGAUGGUUUUGCUGUUUAAAAUGCCCCCCAAGUGUGGUGCUAAAGUGCUGUAUAGUGCUCUUGAGCACAAGACAGCUGUGAUGUGCCUUACAGAGAAAAUACAUAUGUUAGAUUAGUUUACUUCAGGCAAGAGUUACAGUGCUAUUGGCUGUGAGUUCAAUGUUAAUGAAUCAACAAUGCAUGUUAAAUAAAGUGUCUCUAAACAUAAACACACAUAAACAAUGAAUGUAUUGAUUUAUUGACAAAAAUGUUGUGAUUGGGUCUCAUAGGAGCCUAACUCUGUAUUUCCCCAGGAACAAUGGUUCAGGAUUUACUGAUUUAGUGUUUACAGUGAUUUUAUAAAACAUAACUACUGUGAAUAAUGAGAAACAACUGCACAUGAUUAUGAUUACUAUGUAGCAUGCUAUAUAUAAUAAUGAAUGUAAAUUGAUAAAAAGAGCAAGAUUCCAGUCGAAAAAAUGGAAAAGGAAAUAUAUAGGGAAUUUGCAGACCAGGGAAAACAUGUAUAAUAACAUUAUUGAAAAAUAAACCCUUCCAUUUUACUAGUAGUAACCAAGGAAAUCAAAUUGAAGCAAUGAUGUCAUGUCAUUUUUUUGUUGCCUAUCAAAUUAGAAAGAAAUAUGAAAGGUAAUACUCUAUGCUGGCUGGUGAGAGUGUAGUGAUAUAGCGAUUUUUGUAUAUUGCCAAUGGAAUAAAUUGGUAUGUCAUUUGGGAAAGUAGUUUGAUGAUACAUAUAAACAGCUCUAAAAAUCUUAAUAUCUUACAACUCAGAAAUUAAAGUUUUAAGAAUUUUCCUGAGGAAAUAGACAUUCAGAUAAAGAUUUAUUUACCUUCAAUAUAACAUUUGUAAAAAUAAGAAUGGGAAUGAGAAUUGAAAUGUGCAAGAAUAGGGGAAUCAAUAUAUUGUGGAUAGAAACAGGAUAGAAAACUUACAAAACUAUUAAAAAUAUUUUUUAUUUUAAAGAAAAUCUAAUGAAAUGGGAAAAUGUUCAUGAUUUAAUUGAUAUAUGUAUAUUAUUAAAUAUAUGAUAAAAUUAAAUUAUGCUGAAAUUAUAUAUACAAAAACUAAAUCAACCUGGAAAUAAUUAAGAUUAUUUAAUAGUAGAGCAUAUUUUAUUGUAUGUGUCUUUAAUAUUUAACUACAAACUAGGGGUGGAGGGGAUUGCCAUACCUGCUGCCUGGUAACCAUUAUUUUAACCUUAUUCAUUUGGGCAUAUUUUAGGAGAUGAGACAAUGUUUUUUUGUUAGAAAGGAACUGGGAACCAUUGUACUGUACUAGACCAGGGAAGGACAGAAGUUGGGCUCCUUCUCUCCCCAACUCCCUCUUUUUCUCUCCCUCUCUCUCCUCUCCCUCCUUCUACUUCUCUCCCUUUCUCUCCUUCCCUUCUUAUUUCCCUUCCUCCACUUUUGGUAAUGCAGAGAAAAGAAAGAUUCAUUCAGAUUUGGGUAAAGAGGUAAUGUGGGCAAUAUCUUGGAAGCUUCAAGAAGAAGGUGACAUUUGAACUGAGUAAUAAAGGAUAUGUAUGAUUUUUCUAGAUAGAAAAUGCAGGGAAGAUCUUGACCUUCUUAGCUUCUAAAUGUCAAUGAUACUACCAUAUAUUGUAAAAGUAGUGCCUUUGAGAGUCACUUUUUUAUUGAUUUUCCUUUGGUAUAACUGCACUCAGAAUUUUCUAGUACUUUUCCUCAGAUUCCAGGUGAGUUGUCAUAUUCUGAUGCCCUGAUGUUGGGAUCAAUAGAGGAUGGACACAGAAAAAAAUCAAGAAUUCUACAUCAUUUUGAUGAAUCAGGUAUGUAAUGUGAAGAAUGGAUAAAGGAUAGGAAGAUAUAUUGGAGAAAGGAGAAAGGAACAGAUAUUUUUUUAGAAUAAAAAUUUGUUGUGGUGUUACAGUUCUUUAAUUUUAAUGAUUGUACUCAACCCCAUAAAGUAGGCAAUUAUUCCAAUUUCACAAAUGACAAGUAAUGAGAACCUAAAAAAGGGUAAGAUAGUGGAGGUGGUGAGAAAUGGAUGUGUGUAAUUUACAUUUUGGAAAUAAAAUUGAAUGUAGUAGUAGCAAGGGUAGAGGAGUUAUUAAUCAGCUUAACUGUAAUGUGCAGAUAACCAUUAAGGCUCUGCUUACUUCAUAGGAUUGUGCCAAAGUUAGAUGAAAUAAGGGCUGUCACAAUGAUCUGUAAACUUCAGAUCAUUGUACCAAUGGGAGAUGCUCAGAAGCUUUGAGCUUUGGCAACUUGGGAGAUGGAAAGGCUAUUAAUGGAGGUGGGGACUGAGGAGGAAGAGUAUUUUGGAGGGAAGAUGAUAUUUGCUAAUUCUUCAACAUCUCUUCCUGUACUUGUCAGUUCACCUUUCUCAUGGCAAUUCCUAUUGUUUUUUUUUUUUUUUACCAUUGUGUAUAGAGACUCCAUCUAUGUAAAUAUAUGUAAAUGAAUAGAUUAUUUCUGGAAUGAUAUGCAAGAAACUUUUGACAGUGAUUGCCCACAAACUGGGGACCUAGGCAGGAGUGGGAAAAACACUUUUCACUCUGUAUCCUUUGUAAUAUUUUUUUUGUUUCUCAGUUUUAUUUUGUAUUUUUAAAAUUUUUAAAAAAUUUUAUUUGCAUUCAAUUUCCCAACAUAUAGUAUAAGACACAGUGCUCAUCUGAUCAUGUACCCUUCUUAAUGCCUUUGUACCUUUUGAACUGUGUAUCAUAUGCAUGUGCUAUCUACUUAAAAAAGGAAAAUUUUUUAAAAAGGAAAAUUAUAAAACAGAUUAAAGACAAAAUAAAAAAAUGUCAUACUGCCCCAAUACAUUUACAUCUCCUGCACUUUAAUCCCAGAGUUUACUCUGUUGUCCUAUGGUCUUACUUGUCCAUGAAGCUUUUCUCUGCCAAACCCAUAUCCUAUCCUUUCUGCUCACUUGAUAUGGAAGUUAGUGAGAAAAGGAAAUUUGAGCUAGUAAGUAUUGACUACUUCUGUAAAAGGUUAGAGGAGAAAGGAAGGGUAUUAGAUGAAGUGGGACUUUGGGGUUAAGAGAGCAUUUCUAAUUUAGAUAUUUCUUUAUUUGCGGCUAGGAGUGACUCUAGUACCUGUUUAUAGGUGGAGGGGAAGAAAUUUGGAGAGAAGGGAGAGAAGUUGAAGAUACAGGAAAGGGAGGGUUUGUAAACAGGCUAUUAGCUUACUCAAGCUAUCAGCAAUAUUGAGAUAGAGUUGCAAAUUAGUGUGUUUCUAGAGAACUGUUUAGAAAUGGCUCUUUAAAAAAAAGCUCUCUAUAAGGAACAAAAUCCCAGAAAGGCCCCUCUGAGGCCAUUUACAAUAGCAGCUCUUGGGUCUGCUGAGAUCUGUCAGGUAUUUCUUCAUCAAAUGUUAAGUGAUUACAGUGAAUAAGGCACAACAUAUAGCAAGGGUUGGGUGGCUUAAUUAAAUGUACUGGCUUGAUAAUCAUUAAAGGAGGAAAGUUUCUGUAAGAAUAGGGAUGUUUGAAUAUAAUUCAUGUGGUGGUGUGGAUUCUAACAGAACCGCUACAGUGCUUGGUUCCUAGUAGGUGUUCAGUAAGUGUUUGUGACAUAAUUCGUUUAUUGAGCACCUCCUAUCAAUCAAGCACUGUGCUAGGCUCUGGGACCACAUAGAUAAGUUAGGCAAAGUCUUGCUUUUUGAGGUGCUUAGGUUUAGUGGUGGUUACAAUAAAGUGAUGAGUUUUAUGACAGAGGUACAAACAAGGGUAGGUGAUCUACUCCACAAACAGAAGCAGAUUGCAGCAUGUUGAGGAAUAGAAAUGGAUAAAGAAAGUGAAGACAGUGAAUGUAGACUGUUCUUUUGAGAAACUUGGCUAAGAAGAAAAGGAGAGAGAGGGCAGUAAACAAGGAGUGUUCAGGGAAUAUUCUUAAAUAAUGAGAGGUUUGAAGAUAUUGUUGUAUAGAGAAGAAAGAAACAGCAGAGAGCGAAAGUGUAAAGGUUCAGAAAUAAGGGCAGUAAUUGAUGAAAAGAGAUCACUAGUAAGUGAUAAAGCUGACCAGGAAUUCUUGGAAAAGUUGUUGUGUGGUACUGAGAAUUUCCUGAAACAGAAGACCAUGAGGUUUUGGGUCAAAAUACGGUAGGUUAAGAAUAUAUAAAAGAUAGUGGAUGAAAUAAUGGUUUUUGGACCCAGGCUAGCCAGGGAAGAAAAUUAGGCUUCAGGGGACCAAUAAGUUGGGAGGAAACAAGAGACCAAAGAAUUGAAGUUGUAGGAAUGAGAAAGUAAAAAAUCUUUAAUGAGAAAAAUGUAGCUAGAGAGUGGGAUAUAUGAAUUUAAGAUUUUAGGGAUCCCUGGGUGGUGCAGCGGUUUAGCGCCUGCCUUUGGCCCAGGGCGUGAUCCUGGAGACCCGGGAUCGAAUCCCACGUCGGGCUUCCGGUGCAUGGAGCCUGCUUCUCCCUCUGCCUGUGCCUCUGCCUCUCUCUCUCUCACUGUGUGCC